rnacentral:rRNA from 1 species
CCUACGGGAGGCAGCAGUGGGGAAUAUUGCUCAAUGGGCGAAAGCCUGACGCAGCGACGCCGCGUGAGGGAUUAAGGUCUUCGGAUCGUAAACCCCUGUCAGCAGGGAAGAACGGGCACUGUGCUAAUCAGCAGUGAAUUGACGGCACCUGCAAAGGAAGCACCGGCUAACUCCGUGCCAGCAGCCGCGGUAAUACGGUGGGGGCGAUCGUUAAGCGGAAUUACUGGGCGUAAAGCGCUCGUAGGCGGUAUGUCAAGUCAAGGGGGAAAUCCCCGCGGCUAACGUGGGAACUGCCUUGGAAACUGGCGGACUGGAGUGUGUGAGAGGAAGGUGGAAUGCCUGGUGUAGGGGUGAAAUGCGUAGAUAUCUGGAGGAACAUCAGUGGCGAAGGCGGCUAUCUGGCACAUAACUGACGCUGAGGAGCGAAAGCGUGGGUAGCAAACAGGAUUAGAUACCCCUGUAGUC